GAGACAGGUGAUACAGAUGACACCAACAUACACUCCCUCAGGUACAUACACACAGGUAAUAAAUACACUUUCAACAUGUGAGGAGCCAUACUUGUGAACAUGGAUUAUUUCCUGUAACAAUUUCCGUAUCAGCCUAAUAAAAAUCAUAAAGAGCAACUGCCAAUAAAAAGCAACUAAUCCCAUUGAAAAUGGACUAUGUGGCAUUUAUAAGUCACAAACAUGUACCAUAGUGUCAAAAUUAACUACAAAGUGAAAAUAGGAUAAUCAGCCUAGUCAAAAACGGAGUUCGGAACCCAGUGCUUCACAACGAGUGAAUGAAGUUUGGUUUUUUGGAUUACAAUUAUGUCAACAAAUCAUCCCCAAUUUUGCCAAGCUCCACGUGCAAAUCGCCCCCAUCCGCUUCGCUUUUCAAAAUGGGGCUAUUUUUUCAGCGCCGUUUCUGACUGAAAAGCCCUAACGUUAUAUGGGUUGACCAUGGCUCCACACAGUUAUACGGUUUACAUGGCCUGCCGAAGGAACCUAGUAUGCGGAAAGGUGGUUGGAGUUUCGCCAGUCCCCUUUGCACCACCAGUAUAGUAACGCUAACUUGGUGUGCAACGUUCGGUGGUGGCCCUCCCAGUCAACACCACCUCAUAAAAUAAGGAAGUCCAUUAUUUGAGGAUCGCUUGCAGCAGUUGUUACAGAGAUGUUCCGUUUGCUGCCAAACAUGUAACAUAGAGAAGAACAACAAGGGGACCCUGAACAUCACGCACACAUGCCCUCGCUGUGAGCAUUCCUAUAAAUUGAACAGGGAGGACGCUUGAAUCAGGACAAUGACCCAACACACCUCCAGGCUGUGUAAGGGCUAUUUGACCAAGGAGGAGAGUGGAUGGAGUGCUGCAUCAGAUGACAUGGCAUCCACAAUCACCUGACCUCAACCCAAUUGAGAUGGUUUGGGAUGAGUUGGAUGGCAGAGUGAAGGAAAAGCAGCCAACAAGUGCUCAGCAUAUGUGGGAACUCCUUCCAGACUGUUGGAAAAGCAUUCUCAUGAAGCUGGUUGAGAGAAUGCCAAGAGUGUGCAAAGCUGUCAUCAAGGCUACAUUGAGGUUAAACACAAAAUGGGACUUUUCAUUCUAUUGAACAUAAAAACGUUUUAAAUACACCAUUAAAAAUUAAACAGGAAUUUGUUAUAAUGUAGCCUACUCAGUACAAACACUAUGUAACAACAUACUUUUUAGGCUUAUAUGUGACAUACUGUAUCAUGCAAUAUUCUAACCAGGGAAAUUCAACACUGAAAUCUGUUCAUCUCAUUAUUCCAAAUGCAUCUUUGGACAACAAUGAAAAUUAAUCUAUUUUUAACGCAGGGUUUGAUCUAAACGUAAUAAGCUAUAAAGUAGAAUGGUUUCCAUUUUAUAGAGUGGAAUGGUUUUUCUGCUGGUGUAUCCUGAGGUAGGUCCUCUCUAAGAACGUCUUCCCACAAUACAUACAGGCAAACGGCCUUUCUCCCGUGUGGACCUUCAGGUGCCUCUUCAGGCUGCCUGUCUUGGUGAAGCGCAUGUGACACUGGGGGCAGCUUUAGGGUUUCUCCCCUGUGGACUCUCUGGUGCCUCUUCAGGUCACCCAUCUGGGUGAAGCACAUGUGACACUGUAGGGUUUCUCCCUUGUGUGGAACCUCUGGUGGAUCUCCACCUUCUGGGAGCAGCUGAAGCCUUUGUUACAGAACAUGCAGAGGAACCGUUUCUCUCUACUAUUGCCUGAUGUGGCUCCCCCUCCAGGAGGCUGGCCUCUAGCCCUUUCAUUUGAGUUUAAUACUUGAUCGAAAAGGAUGCAGCCUUUUGAAUCGGAAGGCCCCAUUGACGUGGACUCUGGGUCGUGAUCCCUAAACAAGUGUAAAGGGGAGUGGGUUGCGACAAUUGGAUUUGUCUCUAAGCUUCCCCUGUAAUCUAAGAAACAUCUUCCCUGUGAGUGUCUGUCUCCUAGGUGACUAUCUGUAUUCCAUGUGGGAGGAACGUCGCCCUCCACUUUCACAUCUACGACCAGACCCUCCCCUUUCUUAUCUAGGCACCCUUCAGAGUAUACACUACCACUGUAGUCCCCUCUGUGGACAGAUCAGUCUUUUUCUCUAAACCCAUGGACAUGUUGCCAGGGUCCAUCUCUGUAGUGUAAGAACAAGACGGAUCAUCACCACCAGUGUCUAACACAUCACUAUCACCAUGGAAAUUAACCAUCCUCUGGCUAUGGUGAAAUAACGGUAUAUACUCUGAGCCAGGAGCAGGAGGACAGCCCAGUCUCCCCGGGUCUGACCUGUCAUCAGAUCCUGUGUGUAAAAGCCUGUGUGUUACAGUUAGUCUUGGUGUCUGUCUCUGACUUGAGGAUGGC